AGUCAGAUACAAGGCACAAAAAAUAACACUGUUUCUGAAGAAAACAAUGGCCUUUCUGAUUCUGUUUUUAAGGUCUGUGCAGAAGUAGCGAUGCUGUUGCCCGGGAGCGGAGCAGUCACAAGGCGCAGUAGGUGGCAGUACACAUCUUAACGCCCUAGAAGAAUGAAUUGUGCAAGCAGCGUGAUUGCAGCGGAAACAAAUAUAUUGUUUUGGAUCCGUAUUAUUUAAGGUUGUAUACAGGUCCUGUGCUUUUCUCCUCUGUGAGAGAUCUGUUUUAAGUUGUCCAAGAUGCCUGUCUUUGGGUGAUAAUAGUAGGGCUGGCUCUGCUCUCAAUAAAACACUGACAUAUGAAAGCAGACAAC